UACGGGAGGCAGCAGUGGGGAAUAUUGCACAAUGGGCGAAAGCCUGAUGCAGCUAUGCCGCGUGUAUGAAGAAGGCCUUAGGGUUGUAAAGUACUUUCAUCGGGGAGGAAAAACAAACUAAUAAUUUUAUUCUUGACGUUACCCGAAAAAGAAGCACCGGCUAACUCCGUGCCAGCAGCCGCGGUAAUACGGAGGGUGCGAGCGUUAAUCGGAAUUACUGGGCGUAAAGGGCACGCAGGCGGUUAAUUAAGUUGGAUGUGAAAUCCCCGGGCUUAACCUGGGAAUGGCAUUCAAGACUGGUUAGCUAGAGUCUUGUAGAGGGGGUAGAAUUCCAUGUGUAGCGGUGAAAUGCGUAGAGAUGUGGAGGAAUACCGGUGGCGAAGGCGGCCCCUGGACAAAGACUGACGCUCAUGUGCGAAAGCGUGGGGAGCAAACAGGGAUUAGAUACC
rnacentral:rRNA from 1 species